ACCAUGUCAUACAAUUGAUUGGCUCAAACGCAUUAAGAAGGAAAGAAAUUCCACAAAUGAACUUUUAACAAGGUACACCUGUUAAUUGAAAUGCAUUCCAGGUGACUACCUCAUGAAGGUGUUUGAGAUAAUUCCAAGAGUGUGUCAGGCUGUCAUCAAGGCAAAAGGUACUGUAGCUACUUUGAAGAAUCUGAAAUAUAUUUUGAUUUAACACAUAUUUGGCUACUACAUGAUUCCAUGUGUUAUUUCAUAGUUUGAUGUCUUCACUAUUAUUCUACAAUGUAGAAAAUAGUAAAAAUAAAGAAAAACCCGUGAAUGAGUAGGUGAGUCCAAACUUUUGGCUGGUACUGUAUAUCACAUAGAUAGGCAGUCCUCUUUGUCAUAGAGAAUAAGAAAUCCCACUCUAUACGGUGCAUUUCGAUCUGCAAAGUUCUGAAACGUUUCACUCUUUUGAACAAUCUCCAGAUGCCACCAAGCACACUGUUUAUGGGAGUCUGAAGUACAGGAGCUCCUCUUUAACAAGUGGGAAUCAUGUCCUGAUGCUUUAGCCUGAUAAUGUGUAGUAUGAGGACUUCAUUAAUUCCUGAGGAAGCUGGUAAGUGUUUUCACAAAAGGGGACUAUUGAAGAUGUAACACCGCUGUAGUUUUAAGCCCCUGCUAACCCUCAGUUUUGUGUCCUUUGUUCUAACUGCUUGUGCUGAAAUAUUGCAAUAUUACGUCAUUUUAAAGUUGUAUUUAAGUGUCAUCCAGUGGACUACAUGGGUAGCUUCAUUUUCCAUCCAUUGCAAUAAUGUAAAUUGGUAUUCAUAAAGAACAUGUCGAUAUGAUGUCUGUAUCAUUGUACAUGACCUUAUGAAGAAUACAGAUUUUUCAUAGAAAUGUAUCUCCUGUGUUACCUUACUCUACAGUGCCUCUUGUUGUUAUACUGGCGCACAAUUGUAAGGAUACAAUUAUUCUCUGGCUGUGACAGACCAAUCAUGCCCUCUGCUGGCCUUGCCCUCUCCUGACAUCUUGAGUUCACACAGAACCAGGAAGUCACCGACAACAGAAUACAAGCCACUCCCUCCUACUCCUCAGAAAACUAAACGUAUCUCUGGUUCUCUUGCUAUGUUUGUUAGUGUGUGCAUCAAAAUGGCAGAGGCCAUGGACUCAAUCAGUUGUCUGAGCUGUCUGGGUCUACUGAAGGAUCCAGUGACUACUCCCUGUGGACACAGCUACUGUAUUGACUGUGUUAAGUUCUGCCCCCAGUGCAGACCUUUAUCCCAAGGCCUGUUCUAAAGAGAAACACUAUGUUUUCUGAGGUCACCAGAAACAGAAGAAGACAGGAGUCCAAGCUGCUCUCCCUUCUCUGUCCUUUGCUGGACCUGGAGAUUUGGAGAGCUGGGAGAAAAAUAAAAGCUGUGAUGUCCUGCCUGGUCUCUUAAUGUGAGACUCACCUCCAGCCUUACAAUGAAGUAGAUCCAUUAAAGAAGCACAAGCUAGUCAAAGCCUCCACACAACUACUGGAGGUUUUUAAUGGAUGAACAUAAAAGCCAUGAGACAGAUACAGCUACAGCAGAAAGGACUGAGAAACCGUGACCUCAUUUUAGAUUGAACACCUUGCUGAGCCCAAGACCAGAGAGGAGUUAAAACAAAAUACUCUUGCCAGCUGACAUUGGAUCCCAAUACAGCACACACUAGCCUGUGUCUGUUCGAUGGAGAACAGUAAUGUUGCCAGGAGAGAUUAGGCCCAGUCCUGUCCGAACCAUCCAGACGGAUAUCCCUCCUACCAACAGGUGCUGUGUAGAGACUGUCUCUCUGGAACUUGCUACUGGAAGGUAGAGUGGAGCGGGGAAGGGGUUCAUGUAGCUGUCUCGUAUAUAAACGGAUCAGCACAAAAGAAGAUAGUAAUGAGUGUGUGCUUGGGAGGUAAUGAUCGAUCCUGGAGGUUAUACAGCUCUUCAUUCAGCCGCUGUUUCAUCCACAGUAAUAACAGGACUGAUAUCCCUGUCCCCUGCUCCUCCAGAAUAGGGGUGUACCUGGACCAUGUGGCAGGAACAGUGUCCUUCUACAGCAUCUCUGACACAGUGACCCUCCUCCACAGAGUCCAGACCACAUUCACUAAGUCCUUCUAUCCUGGAUUCUUUGUUCGCGUUGGAAAUCCUGUGGAGAUACUGACACCUGCUCAGUGAUAAAGCUGUAGUCUGCUGGUACCAUUGUUGUGAGCUUUAGAGAAUGAUUUGGGAUUGCAGAUAUCAGAGUACAGUACUCAUAGAAAAAAAGGUGCUAUAUAGAACCUAAAAGGGUUCUUCGGCUGUCCCCAUAGGAGAACCCUUUGAAGAACCUUUUUGGGCUCCAUAUAGAAUCCUUUCCACAGAGGUUUCCACAACUCAAAAGGCUCCUACCUGGAACCAAAAAGGGUUAUCCUAUGGGGACACCCGAAUAACCCUUUUGGAACCCUUUUUUUCUACGAGUGCAUAAUAAAUGUGCUUCAUUUGCAUAUACAGAGGUGUAAUUAAAACCGAGUGUAACAGACUGAGCCUUUGGUUCUCGAAUGAACGUCAACGCGUAAUGAUGAGACACGCGUACACGUCAAUGGUGGAAGUUUGAUUGCCAGAUGAAAGGGACCAAUCAUCAUUGAGCUUAGUUGAGUCAGUCCGGGAGCGGAACACCGCUGAACAGUUCAAGGGGAGUCAUUUGUAGUUGAUCAUUAAAGUAUUUUGACUUAGUUGUUGCACUAUAUUUUGCACUAUAACUGAAAAGUGUGUAUUUGGAAAACUUGGUAUGGAAGAUAGUGAGACUCGUGCACCACAUACACCUAUAGACAAUUUUGGUCUCUGUGGUUUAUGUUUGCUGAAUAAUAUUCACAAUGUUACUUGUACCACAUGCAACAACUUAAUCAAAAGUCAAAUAAAUUGUACUUGCAAGGAUACACUACCGCUUGUUUUUCAUUUAGGAUCAUCAUCCCAGUGUUUUCAAUGAGGACAUACAACAAUUGUGAAUCAAAUUAGCUUUUAUUAAAGUAUUAGUGGUUAGGGAAUGAGUCAUUACAUGGUACAGAUUUCAUAUGCAUUAUUUAACCAACAUGAAAAAGAGAUGGGGGGGGGGGGGGGG